CAGAAGUGCAGAACGAAAUCUUUGUGCUCUCUACUUCUCUUAUCGCUGCGUAGGUAUGUCGCUGGAUUCUCAUAUAGAGAGGGUGCUAUGGACCAAGUUCCAAAUCUCUAAACGAGUCACAGUGAUUGCAUCUGAAAUCACCAAUGAUUUUACCUCGAUUUCUCCUCCUCCGGUGAUAGUGGGCGUGGCUACCGGCGCUUUCUUGUUCUUGGCUGACUUGGUCAGGCAAAUACAGUUGCCUGUUUCCGUUGAUUUUAUUCGCGC
rnacentral:misc_RNA from 1 species